rnacentral:rRNA from 1 species
UGCAAGUCGAACGAGAAUCUGCUGAAGGAGGAUUCGUCCAACGGAUGUAGAGGAAAGUGGCGGACGGGUGAGUAACGCGUGAGGAACCUGCCUUGAAGAGGGGGACAACAGUUGGAAACGACUGCUAAUACCGCAUGAAGCAUAGGGGUCGCAUGAUCCUUAUGCCAAAGAUUUAUCGCUUCAAGAUGGCCUCGCGUCUGAUUAGCUGGUUGGCGGGGUAACGGCCCACCAAGGCGACGAUCAGUAGCCGGACUGAGAGGUUGAACGGCCACAUUGGGACUGAGAUACGGCCCAGACUCCUACGGGAGGCAGCAGUGGGGAAUAUUGGGCAAUGGGCGCAAGCCUGACCCAGCAACGCCGCGUGAAGGAAGAAGGCUUUCGGGUUGUAAACUUCUUUUAAGAGGGAAGAGCAGAAGACGGUACCUCUAGAAUAAGCCACGGCUAACUACGUGCCAGCAGCCGCGG